ACUCCCAGCAUGCCCAGACAUCCAUAUCCUGUCCGGGCAUGCUGGGAGUUGUAAUUUUGAAAAAUCUAAACACUGUUUUUUAAACCCUGUUCUAUAUUUUGUGAUGCCAUAUAUAUUUGCUAUUAAUAAACUUUAGGAGUCAAUUGACACCUAAUUGACAUGUCCAAGAUAGCCGGUGAUGUGAAGCUGCGCUGUGGCAGUAUAGUGCCCCCACAUUAGGUUGGCAGUAUAGUCCCCCCACAUUAGGUUGUAGUUCCUCCACAUUAGGCUGGCAGUAUAGUUCCCCCACAUUAGGCUUGCAGUAUUGUUCCCCCCACAUUAGGUUGGCAGUACAGUUCCCCCACAUUAGGCUGGCAGCUUAGUUCCCCCAUAGACAUACAGCCUUCUGCCAUAUACAGUGUAUGGCGGGAGGCUGUAUGUCUGUGUACUUCCCCACUUCAGUGCUCCGUCCACCAGAGGAGCGGUGGUCGGAGCACUGAAGAUGACGUGCCGCUGGUAACUUACCAUGCGCACAUGCUCGCUGCUCCGCUCCUAUGGGCGCACGGGACAUCAGUGACAUCCCUGCAUGCGCUACCUCCUGGCAGCCCCUGCAUUUUUAAAGUUAACGUGGGGCCGCAGAAAGGUAACUGGGACAUCCUUGAGUCCUAAAAAGACAAUUGCCCCGUUGCCCCCCCCCCCCCCCCUGGAUCUGACACUGAGCAGCCUGCAGGAGACCUCCUGGGGGAUGAGGGCCCUGGGCAAUUGCCCGAUUUGCCCCACCUUAACGCCAGCCCUGGUUGCAGUUUUGUUGCCGUUGUGUCAUCACUGUAAGAAUGCGAUGGUUUUGGUGCAGUUUUUAAAUCCAUGGUAAGACUGCAGCAAAACCCUGAUGGAACUGUAGCAUACAACAUAUGAACACUGCCUUAUAGUUAUUCUACCAUUGCAUUUUCUAUUGAGCUAAUGGUUGUUUGUGCUUAGUGACAGCAGCCAAUCUGAACAAGCGUAGCUGCAGCAGGAAGCAUGGGGAAGAUGGAGGUACAGCCAUUAACACUAAUGAUAAAUGAGAUGGAUUUCUAGACAGUUGGAUGCCCAGUAGACAAUGAAUCUAAGCUACAGCCCUUGAUCACAGACCUAUCCUAAAUGCGUUCACACAUUCAGGUUUUUAAUUGUAAUAAUUGAAUACUAAGCCAGGAGUCAGAGAAAAGUCUUUAAUAUGUGUCAUCCAUUUAUUAUCUGUUCCCGACUUUGUAUUCAAUAGUUGUGUAAAAAACCUAUAUAAGUAAACUCCACCAACAGUCAUCAUUCAUAAAGAUAUAACUUUUAUUUCAAUAUGCCCAAAAUUUUUAUAUAAAAACAUAAAACACAUAUGGGGGUGUUUCCUCAGACAGAGGAACAGAUAGGUGGUAUCUCGGUGGUGAGGCAGUCGAAAUAUACAUUUAUAUAUAUGAAUAAAAUCAAGAGGAUGGUGAACACACUCUAAUGGAGUACAGCAAAAAUCCUGUUGAAAAAACUUAUAAACCAUUAUCCAAGCAGCAAUUUAUUUGUAAUAGUUUUAGCUGAAAACUGGCCCCUGCUGAGUGACUGUUAUUUUAGAUUAUUGGGAAGAGUUAGCAAAACCUGUGCAGAGGAAAAGUGGAGCAGUUGCCUAUAGCAACCAAUCAGAUGGCUUCACUAAUUUUUAACGAGGUCUCCUGAAAUUAAAGAAGAAAUCUAAUUGGUUGCUAUAGGCAACUGGUCAACUUUUUCUCUGCACAGGUUUUGGUAAAUGUUCCCCAGUGAGACUGUUAAUGUAUGGUGACCACUGUUAAUAAGGGCAUGGAGUCUGUACAUACCUCUCUUAUGUAGAAGUACUACUUGUGUUAUUUUUUUAACAUUGACUAACAUUUUUAUUGUUUGACAUCUCAUCACCGUCCUGAAGUAUAAUAAUUGUACCACAGAUAAUAUAUUGUGUUAUAAUAAAGAAGUAUAUUACUUGCA